UCUCGGCCCUCGGCCUUCUCAGGCGGCAGCACCACUGCAGCGACAAGAUGACAGGACAGGAUGGUUCUGAGCCAAGAACCUGGCCUUCCCAGACACUGGCACCAAGAGACCCAAGCAGACGGCUGAGCAGCUCUCGCCCAGGUGAGCCACGGCCAGGUGUGUCCCCAGCUCCCCCCGCCCCGGCUGAGCCAUGGCCAGGUGUGUCCUCUGCCUCUGCCAUACCUGACCAGCAGUCGCUUCGAAGCACAGGGCUGGGAGAAGGUAGGCCUGCAGGCCCGCAAGGAGGUCCCAGCCCGCGGGACCCCCAGGAGAAUCACUGCAUCGUCUGGCUUCCCCUGCCCGUCGACACGGCCCGGUCUCCCAGCAACCCUCAACCCGAGUCCACGGAGGCCUGUGCACUGGGCAGCGCCCUCCCUGACCGCUGGGUGAGGGUGGACCAUGAGCUCUUGCUCCCGGGUGCACCUGCUCUCCAGGGUGGGCACCCGGGUGUGCUCCUCUCGCACCUGCCGAUGGCACUCGUCCAGCUGCCAGGAGGAUGCUCGGUGCCCGAGCUCCUGACUAGGGCUCUCAGGGCCCCUCUGAAGCAGCCCUGCUGGUUGGCCUCCUGCACCCGGAGCGACUCCUUGCCCACAUGAUAGGGACACUCACCCUGGGACCCGUCCCCCAGGGAAGCCUGGUGACCAUCUGCCGUGCUGCACAGAGAACCCUCCGCCGCAGACACCUGUGCGUGGCGGCCACUCAGGGCGGCUGCAUUUCACAUGAUGACCACUGGGACAGCCUGACACUAACACAGCAUGCUGGGCCUUACCCUCUAGUGGGCGCUGGUCCUCCCAGAAAUGUCCUUCCUUGGGGUCCCCGCUGGGCAGCUCCUGCAGGGAGAAAGAACAGGGCAGACUGUGGACAUUCCAGUACGAGAUCUGGGAACUGAACCGAACCCCAUGCCCUGGGGUGUCAGGCACUCACGGUCCAGAAACGCCAACCUCCCCACACCUCACUAAGCCUUGGGUUUUUUAAAGUAAAACAAACGCACGUCCCA